UCAGAGAGAAACGUGUAGUAGGCAUAGCAACCACAAAGAGGUGGGUCUUAGAGUGUAUAUUAGCAGCCCAUUGGGUAUUUGUUUCCAGGGUAACACCCACCAAAUACAGAACGCAUAAACUGGACCUGAAGGACGUGGCUCUGUGUGACGAGAUCAAGCAAAGGAUGGACUUUGCAGAUGCCAGACGAUGGGCUUUCCCUGGCCAAGUCUGCCUGAUCAGAACAGUCUGACUCUGACUGCCUGAGGGGAGAAACUUCAGGUGAACAGGAAACAUUUUGCAGCCUGAAAGAUACAGAGCCUCUGUUCAAGUUUGAAGACGGCGAGGGCAGAACGUAUCUCCUGAAUGAGGCCCAGUGUGUACACCCUCAUGCUCUGAUAUGCCUCUCCCCCCAUGAGUCUCCAUGUUUCUGUCUCUCAUCGAGCUCUUUCAGAUCAGCUUAACUCCUGCUCGAACAGGCUGGCUGAUGAAAGCUGCCAAGACCGAAGAUGGCCUCCACUGCUCACAAAGCACAGACUCGGUGCUGGAUGGAGAAGACUAAGUAUCUGACUCUCCUCUCAUCUCCUCAGGAGAUCCAGUCUAUAUGACAUCCAUCUGUGAUAAUAAGUGCUUUGUGCCUCAUCUUGGUGUUAUUACUGCUGACUGUCCCUCUGUGGGCUUUGUUGGCCUGUUGGGAUGCUGCUGCUCAUGUCUGUGAACCAUCAGGGGAAACUGAUGGAGGGGUAGUCACAGCACAAUCCGCUGUUAACCCUCGGAGACCCACAUCUUUUCCUUCCCUUCCUUUUUUAGUGUGCCUUGGAGUUUGAAAGCCUCUUUUAUUGUACUGUUUUGCCAUCUAAAAAAAGUGUUACACCCCCCCUCAGUUAAUUAUAAAUGACUUAUAUACACUACUAUAUAUAUUAGCCCAUAUAUAAAAAAUACAAAAAAAACAAAAAAACUAACUGGAAUUUUUACUUAUUUUAUCAAAUAGGAAUUAUAUGAAGACAUUCUAAUAUACAUCAUAAUUAAUGAUAAUUUUGCA